rnacentral:rRNA from 1 species
UACGUAGGGUGCAAGCGUUAAUCGGAAUUACUGGGCGUAAAGCGUGCGCAGGCGGUUAUGUAAGACAGAUGUGAAAUCCCCGGGCUCAACCCGGGAACUGCGUCCGAUACUGGAAGGCUUGAAUCCGGGAGAGGGAUGCGGAAUUCCAGGUGUAGCGGUGAAAUGCGUAGAUAUCUGGAGGAACACCAAUGGCGAAGGCAGCACUCUGGGACGUGACUGACGCUGAGACGCGAAAGCGUGGGGAGCAAACAGG